AUCUGACAUGGAUAGCACCAAAAACGAGGUCUCAGCAGGGCUGGUUCUUUCUGGAAGCGCUGGGGACAAUCUGUUUCCUUGUCUCUUGGCUUUCUAGUGGCUGCCUGCAUUCCAUCGUUCCUUCCACCAUCUUAAAGCCGACAGCAGAAUCAAAUCAGCAGGAGCUGGCACGUGGAGGAACCGUUGUUGGCUGAAUGUUGCCUCCACUCUUCCCUCUGUGAGCCCAUGUCUGCAGCCUCUCCUGGCAGAGAACCACAGGGUUCAGUGCCGAGUGAACCUCAGGGGAGAAGUCAUGUGUCCUCAGGGGAGAAGUCACCUGCAGGAUUACCCACACCUGGAAUUUCUUGUUGACACGCGACCACCUUGGUCCUGCUGACGCCCCUUCUCAGGAUGCUGAUUCUUCCUCGGGGCAUGUUGCAGCUUGCAGACUCACCGGAAGACGCCAAUAACUACUAAUGGAAAGAUAUGAUGCCGAGGAUUCUACACACUCUUCUGACGCCUUUCUCCAUAAGAAAUCAGACUUUCUGUCCCUGCACCAUGGGGGGAACCUGCCUAGUGGUAUUUCUGCUGGCAGCCAUGUCCUCAGAGACCCAGCCCUGAGCCACCUCCUACAGCAGGGAACUCGUUUUCCCGUGGGGUGUUUAGGUAAAAGGAAUUUGUAUGCCAGUGGCUUCUUAGGAAUCUUUCUUUAAAAUCAUAGGAAAGGAAUACUGACAGAGAUCUGAGUAAGGUUUUGUUACCCACCAGCCUCAAAAGUUCCAGAAGGGCUCGAAACGUUCCUACAGCCAACAGCAGCCUGGUCUACUCCCAUGGGGUCAUUCAUACCCUGGGAGGGUCUGGCUGGAUUUUUUCCAUUAUCUCUUGGAUUUCUUUAUGUUUUUGUUUAAUUUUGUUUUCCUCUUUUUUCUUUACACUGCCUGAGGAUCAUAUGACCUUUCUGAUAAAAUCUGAAUUUGG